UACAGAGGGUGCAAGCGUUAAUCGGAAUUACUGGGCGUAAAGCGUGCGUAGACGGUUAUUUAAGUCAGGUGUGAAAGCCCCGGGCUCAACCUGGGAAUUGCAUUUGAGACUGAAUAGCUAGGGUGCGGAAGAGGGAAGCGGGAAUUUCCGGGUGUAAGCGGUGAAAUGCGUAGAUAUCGGAAGGAACACCAGUGGCGAAAGCGGCUUCCUGGUCCAGCACCGACGUUCAGGCACGAAAGCGUGGGGAGCAAACAGG
rnacentral:rRNA from 1 species